UACGAAGGGGGCUAGCGUUGCUCGGAAUCACUGGGCGUAAAGGGUGCGUAGGCGGGUCUUUCAGUCAGGGGUGAAAUCCUGGAGCUCAACUCCAGAACUGCCUUUGGUACUGAGGAUCUUGAGUUCGGGAGAGGUGAGUGGAACUGCGAGUGUAGAGGUGAAAUUCGUAGAUAUUCGCAAGAACACCAGUGGCGAAGGCGGCUCACUGGCCCGAUACUGACGCUGAGGCACGAAAGCGUGGGGAGCAAACAGG
rnacentral:rRNA from 1 species